CCCCUAAUGGCCGCAAGGGGACAAAAUGGUAGCCGGCCUGAGAGGGCGACCGGCCACACUGGGACUGAGACACGGCCCAGACUCCUACGGGAGGCAGCAGUGGGGAAUAUUGCACAAUGGGCGAAAGCCUGAUGCAGCGACGCCGCGUGAGGGAUGACGGCCUUCGGGUUGUAAACCUCUUUCAGCAGGGAAGAAGCGAAAGUGACGGUACCUGCAGAAGAAGCGCCGGCUAACUACGUGCCAGCAGCCGCGGUAAUACGUAGGGCGCAAGCGUUGUCCGGAAUUAUUGGGCGUAAAGAGCUCGUAGGCGGCUUGUCACGUCGGAUGUGAAAGCCCGGGGCUUAACCCCGGGUCUGCAUUCGAUACGGGCUAGCUAGAGUGUGGUAGGGGAGAUCGGAAUUCCUGGUGUAGCGGUGAAAUGCGCAGAUAUCAGGAGGAACACCGGUGGCGAAGGCGGAUCUCUGGGCCAUUACUGACGCUGAGGAGCGAAAGCGUGGGGAGCGAACAGGAUUAGAUACCCUGGUAGUCCACGCCGUAAACGUUGGGAACUAGGUGUUGGCGACAUUCCACGUCGUCGGUGCCGCAGCUAACGCAUUAAGUUCCCCGCCAGGGGAGAGGUACGAA
rnacentral:rRNA from 1 species